rfam:Pyrenophora tritici-repentis Pt-1C-BFP supercont1.4 genomic scaffold, whole genome shotgun sequence.
UGCAAUGAUGAACGUCAAGAUAGGGACAACUGAUGCUUCGGCAUUUGAAGUUACCUUGUGAAAGUAUUUUAGUAGAUGUCUUUCUUAUCUGAUA